UACGGAGGGUGCGAGCGUUGUUCGGAAUCACUGGGCGUAAAGAGCGCGUAGGCGGCCCUGUAAGUCCGCUGUGAAAGUCAAGGGCUCAACCCUUGGAUGCCGGUGGAUACUGUCGACCUCGAGUCCGGAAGAGGCGAGUGGAAUUCCUGGUGUAGCGGUGAAAUGCGCAGAUAUCAGGAGGAACACCAAUGGCGAAGGCAGCUCGCUGGGACGGUACUGACGCUGAGACGCGAAAGCGUGGGGAGCAAACGGG
rnacentral:rRNA from 1 species